AUGAGGCCGGAUAGGAAAACACCGCUUACUGCAUACGGGGAAGACACCACCCAGGGCAGAGCGGCGGGGCAGGAGCACUGCCCUCGGGGGAACACAAAGAAUUGGCGUCCGCGGCGGCUCGGCUGGGCCCAGCCGGGGGAAGGCAGCGCGGGCCGCCCGCCUCCCGCAUCCCGCCCGCCGUCCCGCCACAGCCGCUGCCCGGCCCUGCCCGCCCCACGGCCGCCCCGCGCGCGGCCGCCCACGCCCACGGUCCGCCCCCGCCGGCUCCUGCGCGAGCACUUCCUGCCCACGCCCAGGGAGCCCGCAGCGCGCACACACCCCUCCGCCCGAUGGUUCCUGCCCGGCCCCGGCGUUCCCCCCUCCCGGCCCCCGGGAGGAUGGUUCCUGCCCGGGCCCAUCAUCUCAGCCCUUCCCAACAGUCGCCUCCCUCCCCUCCGCGAAAAUACUCGGCCCACAAUAUGGCGGCUGACAAAACAGCUCCAGCGGCGCCUCCCCCAGAGCGCCGCGCUCCGCUUCCCCCCGCGCCGCCUCGCCCACGGCCGCUCGUCCUCCGCGCCGUCCCCCCGCGCCGAGCCCGGCCUCGCCACCCUUCCUCCCUUUCCCCUCCCGCCUCCGGACCGACCGGCCGGCUCGGCCGCCACGCCGCCCGCCCGGCUUCACUCACGUUGUGGGAGCCGCGGAGCGCGGCUGACAGACCUCCCGCUCCGCCUCUGCGCCCGACGCUGCGGCCGGUCUAAUGGCGGCGGUCCCGCCGGCGCUGCUGCCGCCUGCUCCCGCGUCCGGCGGCCGCGGGCGGGCGAGCGGGCGCUGAAGGGGCCGCGCUGCCCGCGGCGGCGGGUACCCGGCGCUGGGUACGGGGCUGCUGCCGUCGCCGGGCACAGCGCAUUCGUGAGGCGCGGCGCAGAUCGCGGUCCGGCUGCGGGCUCGGCGCUCGGCUCCCCGGGCUCGGCAGCUCCCCUCCCCCCUCGGCACAAACAAUGCGGCUUCACCACAGCGCUGCGCCGACGGGGGGGGAGGGAGAGGGAAGGGACGUGA
rnacentral:lncRNA from 1 species